rnacentral:rRNA from 1 species
GAUGAACGCUGGCGGCGUGCCUAAUACAUGCAAGUCGAGCGAACAGACGAGGAGCUUGCUCCUCUGACGUUAGCGGCGGACGGGUGAGUAACACGUGGAUAACCUACCUAUAAGACUGGGAUAACUUCGGGAAACCGGAGCUAAUACAGGAUAAUAUAUUGAACCGCAUGGUUCAAUAGUGAAAGACGGUUUUGCUGUCACUUAUAGCUGGAUCCGCGCCGCAUUAGCUAGUUGGUAAGGUAACGGCUUACCAAGGCAACGAUGCGUAGCCGACCUGAGAGGGUGAUCGGCCACACUGGAACUGAGACACGGUCCAGACUCCUACGGGAGGCAGCAGUAGGGAAUCUUCCGCAAUGGGCGAAAGCCUGACGGAGCAACGCCGCGUGAGUGAUGAAGGUCUUCGGAUCGUAAAACUCUGUUAUUAGGGAAGAACAAAUGUGUAAGUAACUAUGCACGUCUUGACGGUACCUAAUCAGAAAGCCACGGCUAACUACGUG